rnacentral:rRNA from 1 species
CCUACGGGUGGCAGCAGUGGGGAAUAUUGCACAAUGGGGGAAACCCUGAUGCAGCGACGCCGCGUGAGUGAAGAAGUAUUUCGGUACGGAAAGCUCUAUCAGCAGGGAAGAAAAUGACGGAACCUGACUAAGAAGCACCGGCUAACUACGUGCCAGCAGCCGCGGUAAUACGUAGGGGGCAAGGAUUGUCCGGAUUUACUGGCUGUAACGGGAGCGUAGACGGCAGCGCAAGUCUGGAGUGAAAUCCCAUGGCUUAACCAUGGAACUGCGUUGGAAACUGUGCAGCUAGAGUGCAGGAGAGGUACGCGGAAUUCCUAGUGUAGCGGUGAAAUGCGUAGAUAUUAGGAGGAACACCAGUGGCGAAGGCGGCUUACUGGACUGUAACUGACGUUGAGGCUCGAAAGCGUGGGGAGCAAACAGGAUUAGAUACCCCUGUAGUC